GAUGAACGCUGGCGGCGUGCCUAAUACAUGCAAGUCGAGCGAACGGACGAGAAGCUCGCUUCUCUGAUGUUAGCGGCGGACGGGUGAGUAACACGUGGAUAACCUACCUAUAAGACUGGGAUAACUUCGGGAAACCGGAGCUAAUACCGGAUAAUAUUUUGAACCGCAUGGUUCAAAAGUGAAAGACGGUCUUGCUGUCACUUAUAGAUGGAUCCGCGCUGCAUUAGCUAGUUGGUAAGGUAACGGCUUACCAAGGCAACGAUGCAUAGCCGACCUGAGAGGGUGAUCGGCCACACUGGAACUGAGACACGGUCCAGACUCCUACGGGAGGCAGCAGUAGGGAAUCUUCCGCAAUGGGCGAAAGCCUGACGGAGCAACGCCGCGUGAGUAAUGAAGGUCUUCGGAUCGUAAAACUCUGUUAUUAGGGAAGAACAUAUGUGUAAGUAACUGUGCACAUCUUGACGGUACCUAAUCAGAAAGCCACGGCUAACUACGUG
rnacentral:rRNA from 1 species